GUGGCAGUCCUUCGGUAGCCUGCUGGGGGCCUUUCCAACAUAUCAAUAGGAUACCAGUAUCGGACCAGCACGCCUUCACUUCGGAGUUACCUACUUUCUGACAACCAGAAUCAGAAGUUUUCAUCAGAAGGCAGUGGAAGAGUAACAGCAUUACUGAUAGAAUUUUCUACUUGAAAGUUCACCUUAGUAAACCAUCAGCCAAUAGCCUCUCUUAAAAAGAUGGGGAAAUCGAGGCUUCGAGAACCAGUAAGAUGAUGUGAUCAAAGUCACAAAACAAUUUCUUUGUGUCUCUGUAACAAUCGUGACAAUGACAGAUCCUUCACUCCUUGAGGACAACAGGAGAAUAUUUCCCUGGGAACCUGAGUACAUAUAAUGUAAGGGCAAGUCUGAACAUGGCUGAUGGAAAAUAAUGACAGCAGCAGCAUGGUCUGGAGGAGGUGACGGCAUCGAGAGUUAGCUUAUAUUCUACCCCCAGCCCUCAUCUAGACCCAUCAGAAAAACUCAGGCAAGUCAUCUGGCAUGACAGCAUUCAGAGUAAAUGACCUAUACAAUCACUUUUUAAGGUACUUGGUGUCUGGGCAUCAAAGUCUCAGUGUGUAUUAAAA